UGCAGGCACAGACGUACGCGAGGGGGCUUCUAAAAGCGUGUGGCAAAGCUCAGUUGUCUUGUAAUUCCAGCUUCUCCACACGCUUUUUGAAGCCUGCUCGUCAGUGGCUGCUGUGUUUAG
rnacentral:precursor_RNA from 15 species